UUCGGAGGUCAGAGCUCGGCGGGGUGCGGCUAGUGGCGGAGCGCGCUGCGAGGGGAGGGCUUUCCACUGUCGCUGGCGUGAACUCGCGUGCCCGGCUUCACCAGGUACUGCCUUCUAACGAGCUGGCCAUUUCCACAUGUCAGAUAGGACCAACUUGCCUUUUAACUACCCGUGUGAUACUUAAACACUGUUGCCGGUAUCACAGCUUUUCUUCAAAACAGGAUCUUGCUCUGUCACCCAGGCUGGAGUACAGUAGCACCAUCACUGCUCACUGUAGCCUCGACCUGCUGGGCUCAAGUGAUCCUCCCAUCUCAGCCUCCUGAGUAGGGGACUACACACAGGCACCACCAUGAUCCGGUAUCACCAGUCUGUGGGUACAAAAGGAGAGUAACAUGAACGAUUCAAAUUCCACUGGCUCUUGUUCCCAUGGAUUCACAGAAGUUCAGCCCCAUUUCAAAACUUCACAUUUGCUUCUGGGAAGCCCAUUCUGGAAAGUUUCUCUGUGGCCCUCUCCAGAAGGCAGCGCGACUUCCACCCAGCAACACAAGUCUCUGCAGCACCUGCCCCAGCAGCGCCAGCUGAGCCCCGGAAGCUGGGAAGGCUUAAGCUGACUCUUCUGCUGCACAUAGCAAAAAAUGGUCAUUUCUGUAGUUGCAGCUCCAGAUCUACAAUAAUCAAUCUAUAUCCAUAUUUUAUGGGGUUUUUUUGAGACAAAGUCUUGCUCUGUUACUCAGGCUGGAGUGCAGUGGCAUUAUCAUCAUUCACUUGUAGCCUUGACCUCCCUGGCUCAGGUGAUCCUGUCACCUCAGCCUUCCAAGUAGCUGAGACCACAGGCAUGCACCACUAAGCCUGGCUAAUUUUUCAAUUUUUAUUUUUCGUAGAGACAGGGUCUCCCUGGGUUGCCCAAACUGGUCUUGAAUUCCUGGGCUCAAGCAAUCCUCCUGUCCCGGCACCCCGAAGUGUUGGGACUACAGGCAUGAGCCACUGUGCACAGCCCUUUUUGUUUUUGUUUUUGUUUUUUUUUAAAGGUAAUUUCCCAGUGGAAUCCUCGAGAUUUCUUCACGUUUUUGGAAAAAUGAGUUACAUUUUAGAUUGUUUUCCUUUUUGGAAUUUAAUGGUAUACAUUAUAUUACAUAGCUAUGUUGAGCUCUAUUUCUAUUACACUAAAAAGUAGGCUAAUUGUCUUAACUUUCAUCAGUAAUGACAUUAAAUGUGUGAAGAUUAUACUUGGAAUAAAGCACUUGGAUUCAUUCAUUUCUUCAGUAAAUAUUUAUUGAGCACUAGUAUGUUCCAACGAGUGUCUGUCUACAUUCUGGGGACAAGUGAUAACUAAAUCCCUGUCCUCGUGGAGAGUUAACAAUCAACAAACUAACAAACAUUUAAUUUAUGUCAUCAACUCAUUUCCACAAAUAUAACAACAUCUUGACUUCAAGUUUCCUGAGUUUCUGGUCUAAAGAAUUGCUACCUUCAAGAGCUCAAAUCAUUUGUUGGGGAGAGAGGCCUGUGAUAUAUUUUCUCCUUUACAAUGAAAGUAGCUGUAAAAAGAGGAAGAGAAAUUCUGAGGGUAAAGAUAAAAAAUGUUGAAAUCUUCUUUCUGGAUUUCAGAUUGAGUCUCUUGCCCUAAUUGAUGCAAUUUACACUCCAUGCAUCUCCUUCCCUGGACCUUCUCCAGUUCUUGGGGACUACAGAUGAACUUACUUUUAAUGCAUUUUAUGGCAUUUGGAGGCCCUCCAGUGGACAAAUACUAUACCUGAAAAAAAUCCUUUUGCUGUGCUAAAGUGUUCAGGUGUGAAGUGUACUCAUGUUUGCAAAUCACUUUGAAAUAUAUAAACAAAAAUGAAUUAAUGGAUGAAUAGAGUGAUGCAUAGAUCAUUAGACAUGUGAUAAAAAUAACUGUUAAUUGUAGAAUCUAGAUGAUGAGUAUAUUAUAUGAUAUGGCCCACUGUAUAAUUCUUUCAACUUUUCUGUUUGAAUGUUUGAUAAUAAAAUAUUGAAUAAAAAUCUUUUUGCUAAAGA
rnacentral:lncRNA from 1 species